UACGGAGGGUGCAAGCGUUAUCCGGAUUCACUGGGUUUAAAGGGUGCGUAGGCGGGCGGAUAAGUCAGUGGUGAAAUCCCCGAGCUUAACUUGGGAACUGCCAUUGAUACUAUUUGUCUUGAAUGUCGUGGAGGUUAGCGGAAUAUGUCAUGUAGCGGUGAAAUGCUUAGAUAUGACAUAGAACACCUAUUGCGAAGGCAGCUAACUACGCGAAUAUUGACGCUGAGGCGCGAAAGCGUGGGGAUCAAACAGG
rnacentral:rRNA from 1 species